rnacentral:rRNA from 1 species
AAGUGGAGCAAUCCAUGAGUAAAGUGGCGACCGGGUGAGUAACACGUGACUAACCUGCCUCGAAGUGGGGGAUAACACCGGGAAACCGGUGCUAAUACCGCAUACCCUGAUGAGAUCUGCGGAUUUUGUCAGUAAAGGGAGCAAUUUCGCUUUGAGAGGGGUCCGCGGCUGAUUAGCUAGUUGGUGAGGUAAUGGCUCACCAAGGCAUCGAUCAGUAGCCGGUCUGAGAGGACGGCCGGCCACACUGGAACUGAGACACGGUCCAGACUCCUACGGGAGGCAGCAGUGGGGAAUUUUUGGCAAUGGGGGAAACCCUGACCAAGCAACGCCGCGUGGAUGAUGAAGUAUCUUGGU